rnacentral:rRNA from 1 species
GCUUGCUUGGUGGAUCAGUGGCGAACGGGUGAGUAACACGUGAGCAACCUGCCCUGGACUCUGGGAUAAGCGCUGGAAACGGCGUCUAAUACUGGAUAUGAGACGUGAUCGCAUGGUCGUGUUUGGAAAGAUUUUUCGGUCUGGGAUGGGCUCGCGGCCUAUCAGCUUGUUGGUGAGGUAAUGGCUCACCAAGGCGUCGACGGGUAGCCGGCCUGAGAGGGUGACCGGCCACACUGGGACUGAGACACGGCCCAGACUCCUACGGGAGGCAGCAGUGGGGAAUAUUGCACAAUGGGCGGAAGCCUGAUGCAGCAACGCCGCGUGAGGGAUGACGGCCUUCGGGUUGUAAACCUCUUUUAGCAGGGAAGAAGCGAAAGUGACGGUACCUGCAGAAAAAGCGCCGGCUAACUACGUGCCAGCAGCCGCGGUAAUACGUAGGGCGCAAGCGUUAUCCGGAAUUAUUGGGCGUAAAGAGCUCGUAGGCGGUUUGUCGCGUCUGCUGUGAAAUCCCGAGGCUCAACCUCGGGCCUGCAGUGGGUACGGGCAGACUAGAGUGCGGUAGGGGAGAUUGGAAUUCCUGGUGUAGCGGUGGAAUGCGCAGAUAUCAGGAGGAACACCGAUGGCGAAGGCAGAUCUCUGGGCCGUAACUGACGCUGAGGAGCGAAAGGGUGGGGAGCAAACAGGCUUAGAUACCCUGGUAGUCCACCCCGUAAACGUUGGGAACUAGUUGUGGGGACCAUUCCACGGUUUCCGUGACGCAGCUAACGCAUUAAGUUCCCCGCCUGGGGAGUACGGCCGCAAGGCUAAAACUCAAAGGAAUUGACGGGGACCCGCACAAGCGGCGGAGCAUGCGGAUUAAUUCGAUGCAACGCGAAGAACCUUACCAAGGCUUGACAUAUACGAGAACGGGCCAGAAAUGGUCAACUCUUUGGACACUCGUAAACAGGUGGUGCAUGGUUGUCGUCAGCUCGUGUCGUGAGAUGUUGGGUUAAGUCCCGCAACGAGCGCAACCCUCGUUCUAUGUUGCCAGCACGUAAUGGUGGGAACUCAUGGGAUACUGCCGGGGUCAACUCGGAGGAAGGUGGGGAUGACGUCAAAUCAUCAUGCCCCUUAUGUCUUGGGCUUCACGCAUGCUACAAUGGCCGGUACAAAGGGCUGCAAUACCGUGAGGUGGAGCGAAUCCCAAAAAGCCGGUCCCAGUUCGGAUUGAGGUCUGCAACUCGACCUCAUGAAGUCGGAGUCGCUAGUAAUCGCAGAUCAGCAACGCUGCGGUGAAUACGUUCCCGGGUCUUGUACACACCGCCCGUCAAGUCAUGAAAGUCGGUAACACCUGAAGCCGGUGGCCCA